CAAACAACAGCAUUCAUUGGAAAUAGUCCGAAUGAGGCGCAACGUGGACAAAAAUUUCUAAUUUUUUAAAAAUAUUUCGUCUAAAUCCAAAAAUUGAUUAUUUCGGCGGAUUUGUGCCAUGCCCGUAUACUACGGUGGGUUCGUCGGCGGCCCUCAGGGCGGCGGCUACUGCUUAUACUCGAACUGCUGCCACCCGUCGAUUGGAGGAUGUGGACCUGCAUGUCCGCUUCCCGGACCCUGUUGCGGCCUCUCAUGCUGAUCAGGUGUUUUCUCCACCCUGGCCAUGCGAGAGUUGCAUCCUGAGUGAGAACCUGUACAUGGCCGUGUCGCUGCUGGUGUUCAUACUGCUGUCGACCGUUGGCCUGAUCGGCUUCCUCACACCGUGACGUCAAAUCUUUAGUUACUGUUGUUAAAUAAAAUGUGGAAACUGA